rnacentral:rRNA from 1 species
GGAAUCGCUAGUAAUCGCGGAUCAGCAUGCCGCGGUGAAUACGUUCCCGGGCCUUGUACACACCGCCCGUCACACCAUGGGAGUUGGCUGCACCAGAAGCCGCCGGGCUAACCCUUCGGGGAGGCAGGUGUCUACGGUGUGGUCAGCGACUGGGGUGAAGUCGUAACAAGGUAUCCCUACCGGAAGGUGGGGAUGGAUCACCUCCUUUUAG